ACCACUUGGUGUAGUGGUUAACGACUAUGAUCAUCAGAAUCAUUGAUCCAGGUUCGAACCUUGGGUGGCA